AUACAUUUCUCGGUUGGCACAAGUAAGUAGGAGAUUCCAGGCCUCUUUACCUUCCUUCAAAUAAAGUGGGCCUGCUAGAUCUAUCCCAGAAACUUCAAAUACUAACGAUUCCCGGUUUUUGUCUUCUAGGUAAAGUGAUAUUAUGCUGUUUUUCUUUUCCUUUUUUUAUGCUACAACUCAGCAGGAAACCUAGUACAAUUAUUAUAGCAGAUAGUCAACAAAGACAGAUUCAAACUUUGAAAAAUCUUUAAAUACUGAACUUCCUUGUAAAAGUGGAAUUACUGCUGUCGGAUUGUUGAAAUGGAUGAAAAUUAUUACGAGUGCAUCGAUGGAGAAAACCAGAGCUCAGAUCCAAGAGAAGACGUUAUAGAUAAACAAGUGAAUGCAUUCUUGCGGAGAGUGGAGACAGAACGUAGAAAUUUCGUCCAGGAUAUGAAUAAUUUGUGUGCAGAAAUGAGAGGUGUUUUGAAAAUACCUUCGAGAUUCAUUAACUAUUGUGACCGUCACUUGAAAAGUUCAUCGAGUGGAAGUGUUAACGUUCGCCUGUGGAGAUUUUUCAAUGGUAAAUGACCAGCUACCAGGUGUAAAAUGAAAUGCAAAACAAAAAAAAAUUCUUUAAAAUAUCAUGUCUUCGUAAAAAUGAAACAUUUCUUU